rnacentral:rRNA from 1 species
AGGGAAUUGUUCGCAAUGGGCGAAAGCCUGACGACGCAACGCCGCGUGGAGGAUGAAGACUUUCGGGUCGUAAACUCCUUUCGACCGAGAUGAAUACCUGCUGACCUAAUACGUCGGCAGGCUGACAGUAUCGAGGGAAGAAGCCCCGCCUAACUCCGUGCCAGCAGCCGCGGUAAUACGGAGGGUGCGAGCGUUGUCCGGAAUCACUGGGCGUAAAGGGCGCGUAGGUGGCUUGGUAAGCGUGUGGUGAAAGCCCGGGGCUCAACCCCGGGUCUGCCGUGCGAACUGCCAUGGCUUGAGUACUGUAGAGGCAGGUUGAAUUCCGGGUGUAGCGGUGGAAUGCGUAGAGAUCCGGAAGAAUACCGGUGGCGAAGGCGGCCUGCUGGGCAGUUACUGACACUGAGGCGCGACAGCGUGGGGAGCAA